GAUGAACGCUGGCGGCGUGCCUAAUACAUGCAAGUCGAGCGAACAGACGAGGAGCUUGCUCCUCUGACGUUAGCGGCGGACGGGUGAGUAACACGUGGAUAACCUACCUAUAAGACUGGGAUAACUUCGGGAAACCGGAGCUAAUACCGGAUAAUAUAUUGAACCGCAUGGUUCAAUAGUGAAAGACGGUUUCGCUGUCACUUAUAGAUGGAUCCGCGCCGCAUUAGCUAGUUGGUAAGGUAACGGCUUACCAAGGCAACGAUGCGUAGCCGACCUGAGAGGGUGAUCGGACACACUGGAACUGAGACACGGUCCAGACUCCUACGGGAGGCAGCAGUAGGGAAUCUUCCGCAAUGGGCGAAAGCCUGACGGAGCAACGCCGCGUGAGUGAUGAAGGUCUUCGGAUCGUAAAACUCUGUUAUUAGGGAAGAACAAAUGUGUAAGUAACUAUGCACGUCUUGACGGUACCUAAUCAGAAAGCCACGGCUAACUACGUG
rnacentral:rRNA from 1 species